GGGUGACUAGUCUAGUGGUCAGGACGGUUCGUUGUGGUUCCUUCUUUCGAGAAGAACAACAAUUUCCGAACAAACCCCGGUUCGAUUCCGGGGUCGCCCA